GCCCCGGUAAACGGCGGCCGUAACUAUAACGGUCCUAAGGUAGCGAAAUUCCUUGUCGGGUAAGUUCCGACCUGCACGAAUGGCGUAAUGAUGGCCAGGCUGUCUCCACCCGAGACUCAGUGAAAUUGAACUCGCUGUGAAGAUGCAGUGUACCCGCGGCAAGACGGAAAGACCCCGUGAACCUUUACUAUAGCUUGACACUGAACAUUGAGCCUUGAUGUGUAGGAUAGGUGGGAGGCUUUGAAGUGUGGACGCCAGUCUGCAUGGAGCCGACCUUGAAAUACCACCCUUUAAUGUUUGAUGUUCUAACGUUGGCCCGUAAUCCGGGUUGCGGACAGUGUCUGGUGGGUAGUUUGACUGGGGCGGUCUCCUCCUAAAGAGUAACGGAGGAGCACGAAGGUUGGCUAAUCCUGGUCGGACAUCAGGAGGUUAGUGCAAUGGCAUAAGCCAGCUUGACUGCGAGCGUGACGGCGCGAGCAGGUGCGAAAGCAGGUCAUAGUGAUCCGGUGGUUCUGAAUGGAAGGGCCAUCGCUCAACGGAUAAAAGGUACUCCGGGGAUAACAGGCUGAUACCGCCCAAGAGUUCAUAUCGACGGCGGUGUUUGGCACCUCGAUGUCGGCUCAUCACAUCCUGGGGCUGAAGUAGGUCCCAAGGGUAUGGCUGUUCGCCAUUUAAAGUGGUACGCGAGCUGGGUUUAGAACGUCGUGAGACAGUUCGGUCCCUAUCUGCCGUGGGCGCUGGAGAACUGAGGGGGGCUGCUCCUAGUACGAGAGGACCGGAGUGGACGCAUCACUGGUGUUCGGGUUGUCAUGCCAAUGGCACUGCCCGGUAGCUAAAUGCGGA
rnacentral:rRNA from 1 species